GCCAGACUCCUACGGGAGGCAGCAGUGGGGAAUAUUGGGCAAUGGGCGAAAGCCUGACCCAGCAACGCCGCGUGAAGGAAGAAGGCUUUCGGGUUGUAAACUUCUUUUGACAGGGAAGAGUAGAAGACGGUACCUCUUGAAUAAGCCACGGCUAGCUACGUGCCAGCAGCCGCGGUAAUACGUAGGUGGCAAGCGUUGUCCGGAUUUACUGGGUGUAAAGGGCGUGUAGCCGGGCCGGCAAGUCAGAUGUGAAAUCCCAAGGCUCAACCUUGGAACUGCAUUUGAAACUGUUGGUCUUGAGUAUCGGAGAGGCAGGCGGAAUUCCUAGUGUAGCGGUGAAAUGCGUAGAUAUUAGGAGGAACACCAGUUGCGAAGGCGGCUCUCUGGACUGUAACUGACACUGAGGCACGAAAGCGUGGGGAGCAAACAGGAUUAGAUACCCCCGGUACAC
rnacentral:rRNA from 1 species